rnacentral:rRNA from 1 species
AUAAGUUGAGUUGUCUCUGCUCCAUGGUUUAAAUAGCCGCAGUAUCUUGACUGUGCUAAGGUAGCAUAGUAAUUUGUUCUUUAAUUAAGAGCUAGAAUGAAGGAGCUGACGACGCUUAAACUUUUAAGCUAGAUUUAUGGAACUUAAUGUUUGCUUCAAAAAGAGCAGAUAAGCUAGGGGGACGAUAAGACCCUAUAAAACUUUAAUUUUAAGGUGUGUGUAAUAUUUAGAAUAAAAUAGACACUUAAAUUUAAGCUGGGGCGGUAAUUAAAGUACAUUAAGAAGAUUAACACAGUUAAUGAUAUUAAGGAUCUCAUUAAGAGAUAGAACAAGUUACUUUAGGGAUAACAGCACAAUUUUUCCAGAUAGUUCACAUAAAAGGAAAAGACUUGUGACCUCGAUGUUGAAUUAAGGUGUCUUAUUUAAGCAAAAAUAAAUAAAGAGGGUCUGUUCGACCUUUA